AUUGAACGCUGGCGGCAUGCUUUACACAUGCAAGUCGAACGGCAGCACAGCAGAGGUAACUCUGUGGGUGGCGAGUGGCGAACGGGUGAGUAAUACAUCGGAACGUACCCUGUUGUGGGGGAUAACUACGCGAAAGCGUAGCUAAUACCGCAUACGCCCUGAGGGGGAAAGCGGGGGACCCUAAAUAGAGCGCACUGGGGAGUGCGUUGUAUUUAGGGCCUCGCGCAAUAGGAGCGGCCGAUGUCGGAUUAGCUAGUUGGUGAGGUAAAGGCUUACCAAGGCGACGAUCCGUAGCUGGUCUGAGAGGAUGAUCAGCCACACUGGGACUGAGACACGGCCCAGACUCCUACGGGAGGCAGCAGUGGGAAUUUUGGACAAUGGGGGCAACCCUGAUCCAGCCAUGCCGCGUGAGUGAAGAAGGCCUC
rnacentral:rRNA from 1 species